rnacentral:rRNA from 1 species
GGCGUUUGAUAGUACCCGAAGAGGAAGAGACGGGCUAACUCUGUGCCAGCAGCCGCGGUAAUACAGAGGUCUCAAGCGUUGUUCGGAUUCAUUGGGCGUAAAGGGUGCGCAGGCUGUUGUGUAAGUCGGAUGUGAAAUCCCGGGGCUUAACCCCGGAACUGCAUUCGAUACUGCAUGACUAGAGGACUGGAGAGGAGAUUGGAAUUUACGGUGUAGCAGUGAAAUGCGUAGAUAUCGUAAGGAAGACCAGUGGCGAAGGCGAAUCUCUGGACAGUUCCUGACGCUCAUGCACGAAGGCUAGGGGAGCAAACGGGAUUAGAUACCCCGGUAGUCCUAGCAGUAAACGGUGCACGUUUAGUAUGGGAGGAAUCGACCCCUUCCGUGCUGGAGCUAACGCGUUAAACGUGCCGCCUGGGGAGUACGGUCGCAAGAUUAAAACUCAAAGAAAUUGACGGGGGCCCGCACAAGCGGUGGAGUAUGUGGCUUAAUUCGAUGCAACGCGAAGAACCUUACCUGGCCUUGACAUGCAUUUCUAAGUCGGUGAAAGCCGGCGAGUGUAGCAAUACACAACUUGCACAGGUGCUGCAUGGCUGUCGUCAGCUCGUGUCGUGAGAUGUUGGGUUAAGUCCCGCAACGAGCGCAACCCCUGUGAAUAGUUGCCACCGGUCCGCGAGGAUCGAGCACUCUAUUCAGACUGCCCUGUGAAACGGGGAGGAAGGUGGGGAUGACGUCAAGUCAGGAUGGCCCUUACGGCCAGGGCUGCACACGUACUACAAUGGUACAUACAGAGGGCCGCCAACCCGCGAGGGGGAGCUAAUCCCAGAAAGUGUAUCGUAGUCCGGAUUGUAGUCUGCAACUCGACUACAUGAAGUUGGAAUCGCUAGUAAUCGCGGAUCAGCAUGUCGCGGUGAAUACGUUCCCGGGUCUUGUACACACCGCCCGUCACACCAUGGGAGCGGGUUUCACCAGAAGUAGGUAGCUUAACCGCAAGGAGGGCGCUUUCACGGUGGAUUCG